rnacentral:lncRNA from 1 species
GAAAUCUAUCUGAGAACAUGUCCCUCCACUUUUGUAAGUGAUAAGAUGUUCCUCUCUUUUCUUAAACCACGUAUUGGCUAUAGAAAGAUCCAAAGCCUCCGAAAACUCCAAGAUGGAUUUACCCUCCCCAUUCAUCUCCCCUAGGCCAAAACCCCCAUGCACCCCCUCAAAACCUCUAUCCGCGCUACCUACAUGUCCAUUGAGAUCCCCUCCUAGGAAAACUUUCUCUCCUUGGGGUAUAUCCUGAAGUACCCCUUCUAGAUCCUCCCA